GUGGGUAUAGCUUAAGUGGUAGAGCGCAUGCUCAGCAUGCACAAGGUCCUGGGUUCAAUCCCCAGUACUUCCU
rnacentral:tRNA from 1 species